CUUGGUCAUUUAGAGGAAGUAAAAGUCGUAACAAGGUUUCCGUAGGUGAACCUGCGGAAGGAUCAUUCAUAAUAAGUGUUUUAUGGCACUUUUUAAAUCCAUAUCCACCUUGUGUGCAAUGUCAGUCGAUCUUCUUCAUGGAGAUCGACCAAACAUCAACCUUUAUUUUUUAACUCUUUGUCUGAAAAAUAUUAUGAAUAAGCAAUUCAAAAUACAACUUUCAACAACGGAUCUCUUGGCUCUCGCAUCGAUGAAGAACGCAGCGAAAUGCGAUACGUAAUGUGAAUUGCAGAAUUCAGUGAAUCAUCGAAUCUUUGAACGCAUAUUGCGCUCUUUGGUAUUCCGAAGAGCAUGCUUGUUUGAGUAUCAGUAAACACCUCAAAGCUUUUGGAUUUUUUAAUCGAAAGGCUUUGGACUUGAGCAAUCCCAACACCAAUCUUUUUGAGAUCGGUGGCGGGUUGCUUGAAAUGCAGGUGCAGCUGGACAUUCUCCUGAGCUAAAAGCAUAUUCAUUUAGUCCCGUCAAACGGAUUAUUACUUUUGCUGCAGCUAACAUAAAGGGAGUUUGACCGUAUUGGCUGACUGAUGCAGGAUUUCACAAGGGUCGGCAACGAUUCUUGUUAAACUCGAUCUCAAAUCAAGUAAGACUACCCGCUGAACUUAAGCAUAUCAAUAAGCGGAGGAAAAGAAACUAACAAGGAUUCCCCUAGUAACGGCGAGUGAAGCGGGAUGAGCUCAAAUUUAAAAUCUGGCUGGUUUACUAGUCCGAAUUGUAGUUUAUAGAAGCGUUUUCGGUGGCAGCCUGGGUAUAAAUCCUUUGGAAUAGGGUAUCAUAGAGGGUGAGAAUCCCGUCUUUGACUCAGUGCAUGCUACUAUGUGAUACGUUUUCAAAGAGUCGAGUUGUUUGGGAAU
rnacentral:sRNA from 1 species